UCAUCUCUGGUGUAAGGGGAGUCACGCUUGGUUGUUACCCAAGAGGUCAAGGUUCGAGUCCUUGGAGAUGAGCCA
rnacentral:tRNA from 1 species